rnacentral:rRNA from 1 species
GGUGCAUGGUUGUCGUCAGCUCGUGUCGUGAGAUGUUGGGUUAAGUCCGCAACGAGCGCAACCCUAUUGUUAGUUGCCAUCAUUCAGUUGGGCACUCUAGCGAGACUGCCGGUAAUAAACCGGAGGAAGGUGGGGAUGACGUCAAAUCAUCAUGCCCCUUAUGACCUGGGCUACACACGUGCUACAAUGGUUGGUACAACGAGUUGCGAGUCGGUGACGGCGAGCUAAUCUCUUAAAGCCAAUCUCAGUUCGGAUUGUAGGCUGCAACUCGCCUACAUGAAGUCGGAAUCGCUAGUAAUCGCGGAUCAGCAUGCCGCGGUGAAUACGUUCCCGGGCCUU